ensembl:snRNA U1 U1 spliceosomal RNA
AUACUUCCCUGACAGGGGGAGACACCAGAAGGUGGUUUUCCAGAGCGAGGCUCAUCCAUUGCACUGGGGGUGUGCUGACCCCUGCGAUUUCCCCAAAUGCAGGAAACUUGACUGCAUCAUUUGUGGUAGUGGGGGAUCGCAUUCGUGCUUUCCCCUG